rnacentral:rRNA from 1 species
CCUACGGGCGGCAGCAGUGGGGAAUAUUGGACAAUGGGGGCAACCCUGAUCCAGCCAUGCCGCGUGUGUGAAGAAGGCCCUCGGGUUGUAAAGCACUUUCAGUGAGGAAGAACGCCUGGUGGUUAAUACCCAUCAGGAAAGACAUCACUCACAGAAGAAGCACCGGCUAACUCCGUGCCAGCAGCCGCGGUAAUACGGAGGGUGCGAGCGUUAAUCGGAAUUACUGGGCGUAAAGCGCGCGUAGGUGGCUUGAUAAGCCGGUUGUGAAAGCCCCGGGCUCAACCUGGGAACGGCAUCCGGAACUGUCAAGCUAGGGUGCAGGAGAGGAAGGUAGAAUUCCCGGUGUAGCGGUGAAAUGCGUAGAGACCGGGAGGAAUACCAGUGGCGAAGGCGGCCUUCUGGACUGACACUGACACUGAGGUGCGAAGGCGUGGGUAGCAAACGGGGUUGGAUACCCCGGUAGUC